GACGCCACCGCCGGCCGCCGCCACUAACCGUAUUCCUAGUCCGUGAACUAAACAUUCAAACGUAAUGGAAUAUAAUUUAAUCAAUUAUAAUAGAUAUAUUUUUUUUUAAUUGUCUGAUCAAAAAUUCUGAGCUUCAAAACGUGUAAAUGCAUGAGACUAUGACGAUAGUAAUGGAAUCUAACCAAUAAUAACAAUGAUUAUUGUGUUCUAGUCCAUCGCUUUAAAGUAGGUACGAAGUAUGUGCCGGCUAUGAGACGCUGACUGUUCUCAAUCCUCAAAUGUGAAUUAACAUAGCAAUAUUAUGUAAAAUACUGGGAUUCCAUUCAAGAACUAGAAGAUAACAUUAAGCCUUCUCGAUCACAAACACGAUCAUAGUUCGUAAUGUCGACCAGUUUUUGACAAAACGGCAAACACGGUUAUUUGAACACUGCACUGAGUACCACUGUCUAGCUGUCAGAACAAAGCUCUACACUUAGCAUAAUGGUGUUUGACAUCUGAUUAUUAUUGAUCUCGUGCUAAAAUUGUGGUAUCUUAUUGUUACCUACUACAACUUUUUGGACUCGUUAAUUUGUUGCACAUUCUACUCGAAGCAUUGCGGUUUUGUGUUGUGACCAGUUAAUAAAGAAAUUGUUUCACAUCAUGCCCGUUGAAAUGGAAUCUGAAGUUAAUUUUAUGAAAACUCAUAGCAUAAUAGAAUGCGAAGAACUAACAAAGAUAAACAAUAAUCGUAAAUCGCUUAAUCAGAAAAUUACACUUGGAUUGGCCACCAGAGAAGAAUUUUUGAAACAAAUAAAAAUUGAAUUAAAUAUGCUGGAUACGUGUCAACUUAAAAUUGAACAAGAACUGAAAGAAAACUCGGAGUGUCUUAACACUGAAAUACUUACCAUUUUAUCAAAUCGUAUCAAUGAUAUGUACACCAAAAUGUUUCAUUUGUUUCCUGUUUUAAAGACUUCACUGUCAGAAUAUAUUGAGUUCUGUUCAAAUAAUAUAUUAUUUAUUACUAAAUGUAGCAUCAUAUUGAAUACACUCAUGUCGAGAUACCAUAAUGACCCUGAAGUGUAUUUAACUGCAGCAACAUAUGCAUUUGAUGACCGAAAUGAUAUUGAAUCAGCUAGACGAUAUUUUGCAAAAGGAUUAAAAUAUCACAAAAAUUGUAAAAAUUUAUAUGUAGAAGAGUUCUGGGUAGAAGUACAACAUUUAGAAAAGACUGCAGGAGCCUCACUUCCAAUUGCUAUUGCAAAAUAUAGACGCCUAAUAAAACGUUUUGAAGGUGAUAUCGAAUUUCAUUUUAUAUUAUUGGACAGAGCAAUAAAAUUAAGUGCAGUUAGAGAACUGCAAUGCAAUGUAGUCAGAGAUAUGGUUAAGAAGUAUAGGCAUAGUGAACUAAUGUGGCAAAAAUUAGCAAAAAUUCAUUUUGACGGUUUUAUCUAUCAUAAGGAGACUGAGCAAUUACGCUAUGAUAAAAAUUAUAUUAAUGGUAUUAGAAACUGCAUUAAAACCUAUGAAGAUGGAUUAAAAGAAAAUUUACCACUAGAAAAUAAACAUAAGUUAUGGAACUUUUAUAUUGAUCAUGUUAUAGAAAUUCGAAAAUCUUAUCGCAUGAAAAAAGAAACAAUCAGAAAUUUUAUGAAUGAAACAAUGGAAAGAGCCUUUCAAGAAGCUCAUGAUAAUAAAGCAUUAUAUAAAGCUGAACAAUACAUUUAUUGGGCUGAUAACACAAUUCAAGAUUACGAUAAAAUAAUGAGAAAAGCAGUUGAGGUGAUAAAAGAUGAUCUUGAACUCUGGAUUAAUUUAAUAUCAUAUUAUUUGAACUACGACAGUCUUGAAAUGGGUAUUGAAGCUUUUCAAGACGGUGUUCGGGCUUUAAAAAACAAAUCAAUGCCUUUAUGGGAGAUUCUAAUUUUAUACAUGGGGAACACUCAUCCAAAAUUGCUCCAACAAUUAUAUCACGAAGGAUCACAUUUUCCAUUUCCGGAAAUCAAUUUUAUAAUCAGGCCUAAAUAUUUAGAAUGGAACGUUGUUCACAAUGGAAUACUAUCAACUCGUGAAUUGUUCAUUAAACUCAAAGACUUAAAACCAGAAUGUAAACAGUUGUAUAAGUCCAUGAUUUCAUUUGAACAUAAUCAGACCUCAGGAUUUACCAAAUUAAAAACUAUAAGAAAAUUGUAUAACGAAGUAUGCAAUACUUUUGGCGACACAGAAAUUGAUGUAUGGACCGAUUGCAUCCGUUUUGAAUGCAUCUAUGGUUCUCAUAAUUAUGUGAAAGAAAUUUACAAGGCAUCAUUACGGUGCUUGGAAUCAGAUUUAAAAAGUACUAUGAUAGAAGAGUUUAAAAAACUUAAGAAGGAAUUCUUGGAGUAUGAUCCGAAAGAUGAAGGAGUUAUUGUCAUUAAUGAUGAUGAAUAAUUUUAUAGUUAGGGAAAAAAAUGACAGGGUAUGUGCGUGUUUUUAUAUUCAUGUUCUUAAAUUACUAUUCUGUGCACAUAAUUUUUUUUUGAUAUUUGAUAUGUUUUAUUAUGUUAAUGUAUCUUUAUUAUUUACAAUUAUUUUUUUGUAUUUUUUAAAUAGCCUAAGCAUAAAACAACAACAUUUUAAAUUUUUGUUAAUAAUUAAUUAUUAACCCUAAAAUGUAUUGUUUAAUGGCAUAAAAAUAUUUUUAUGAAGUAGCAAACAAUCAAAAUAAUGCCAAAAUAAAAACAAUUAGACGUAUGUUUAUAUUUUACACAUAAAGCAAAUCAUAUUUUGAAAUUAAAUUAUUUUUUUUUAUUUAAUAAAUAUCAUUUCACUUGACCUUUAAAAGAAAUGAACUGAUAUCAGCGAGAGAGAGGAUUAGGAUUUAACAUUGUUAGAAAAAAAUAGCUGCACUUUAUUUUCAUAUGCACAGGCACAUCUGUUUCUAUCAAUGUUGGCAUUUAGUAACCUGUAUAAGGCAGGGUCGGACUGGGUACUAAAUUACUAUUUCAUUUUUGGAAAGUUUUUCACACAUAAAAUAUUAUUAUUUUAUAGUUUAAAUAUUUUCUAAAUCUGAGUUAAUUUUGUAAUAGAACAAAAUGUUUUUCUUUUUUUUAUGGAACUAUUUCAUUAUAGUUUAUAUAUUACCUGCAUAUAGAGUAUAGAUUAUUUUGUAUUCUAUGUAUUUUAAAUACACUACCUAGAAGUACUGAUUAAAAUUUCAGAUUUAGUCCUUCAGCUUUCUGUCUUAUACUGUAAAUUAAAUUCUUAUUACUUCGAGUAUUAAUAUAUUAUUUUAAUAACUGUGUUACUAUUAAACAAUAAUUGUGAUUCAUAACUCGUAACAGUGGUAAAUUAUAUUUUGGAUGGAUUUUCACUAGCCAGUAGAGAUUUUGAGUGUUUAGUUAUAAUAAUAAAUACUCCCAAAGUCCAAACUCGUACAAUAUUAUUAAUUGGAGCUGAUAACAUAAACAUCAAACACAUAUUUAGUUCCCAUAAAGCCCCAUCAAAUAGGCACUAGUGCACUGCACUACUUUAUAAUUUUCUUUAAAUAAUUAGUUCAUGCUAUUAUGUUUUUAAAAUUAUGAAGGGCCUCAUCCCAUACAGUUACACAGACAUGAAGCCUCACUGGCUAUUGCUAGUCUAGAGUAUACGCCAGUCCGAUCCUAGCAGCAAGGAAUGGUAGAUGUGUUCAUAUAUUCUUAUUUCUUAUGUCCGUGCAUUAAUCAUUAGUAUCUUACAUGAAUGUGGCGGUGCAUAAGCGUAGCCUGAUGAAUUUAUGUAGACAUAAAUAGGCAUAUGUAAACAACAUAAAUUCUAAACAUUUUACUAAAAAAAAAUUUACUAAAUGAGGCUGCUAAACAAUAUUUCAAGGGGGCUGUAGCCCCCUUAGACCCUCCCCCCCAUUCUACGCCUAUGGUGCGGUGGUUGUGUGUGAUUUAUAUUCCGAUCACUCUGUCUGCCGCGCUACGAUGCAACGAAUUAUAUGCAGUUUUUUGUUUUCACCUAUUCGCGUAAGUCGUACGAAACUGCGUCGGAAUAUAUAUAAACAAAAACUUUAAAAUGAUAAUACCGUGAAUACCAAUGUCUAAAUACCAAUAUACUAAUAUCAAAGAUCAUUCUUCCGUUUUCCGUAACCAGUGUUUUCCAAAAGUUUUACAACCGGUAGGUAUAACGCAAUAUUGACACUUGAAAUUAGGCUCUAUUAAUUUUUUUAAUUAAUUAAUGAAUAAAUCUAUAAAAGGAUUUAUUUCCAAAUAAUUUGGAUCAUUAUUUUUUAACAAUAUCCCUAAUAACAAAAAUCAUAAAACUCUGUAGGUACCAUGUAUUUAUUAUAAUUUCUGCUAGCACUGAUAUAAGGAGAAAAUAUCAAAUAAUUGUUCACCACCGCCUUCUGGUAUCAUCAUUUAAAGUAUUUGGUACAUUAUAAAUUAUAAUAUUAUAAUAUCAUGGUUAUAGAUACUAUGGUUGCGAAGGCCGAGUACUAAGAUAGAACGGGCUGGAAACGAGCUGGUGGCCGUUUAAGGUUUAGGGGGUCUUGUACGGGUAAGGGAAACGGUAACUAUGAAUCGAGUGCUACCUAUAUUCAUCAUCUAGUUCAUAAUAUUAUUUUUGUAAAUCUUAAAAGGAGGCUUCAUCCACACUCGCGUUGUCUUACAAACGCAUGACAUUGCAAAUUGUACAUUUACAGAAUAAUCUAUUUAACUCUAUAGGUACAUAAUAAUAUUAGAAUGACCAAUUAUAAAAUUUAAAAGUAAGAGAAUUAUCUAGUGAGUCUCAUAGAUUUUUUUUAAUAUUUUAAUUUUAAAGCGAGGUAUGAAUAUUUUAUAAUGUACAAACAAUUUAAAAUUUCAAAAUUAUCAUAAGUCGCAAUAGUCGCAUUAAGAGGACGCCGCACCCGCAUACCUAUUAUGUUAUCUCCGUCUUACAAGUGCGUAACAUAGCAAAAUUGUACGCUUAGCAGAACACGUGUAGCUCCGUUAAUUUAAAUAUUAGAAUGAAUUCAAAUUUAGAAGUAAGAAUAUUAUCCAGGCAACAGAGGCUUUUUAUUAUAUUUUAAUUUUAAAGCCAGUUAUGAGUAUUGUAAAAUUGUAAAUUGUUAGUACAUCUUAAAGUACUCAUAACUCGCUUUAAAAAUUAAAAUUUAAUAAAAAACCUAUGUCAUUGCCUAGAUAAUAUUCUUCUAAAUUUGAUAAGAGGUCAAUUCACUCAAAUUUUUAAACCAACAGAGCUAAACGUGAUCUGCUGAGCGUACAAUUUGCUCAACCUAACCCACUGAUUUUACCGGCCGAAUUCGGUGGUUUAACCUUAGUUUAACGAUUGUAAUACGGGCCCUUAGUCCGUGUUGGCAACCAUAUUAUCUUAAAUCAUGGUCGUGACCCAAAAUAGGCUGCUGUGCAACCGUACUAUUUAUAAAUUAUAUAGAGGAGUUUUUCCGUAUAAUAAUAGCCGAAAGGCGACCAACUGCUUCUGAUAAUUCAGUAUUUUAAUCGCUCAUCCCGGCGUGGAGCAUGGUUAAUAGCACAUUGGCGUGAGACACAAACGUUUUUGACCGACCGGCGUCCGUUAGGCCUCGUUAUAUAUCUUAUCGAUAUAUGGGUAGACGACAAUGGAGAAGUUCGAGGUUUAGUUGUCGGUACCCGCGCCAUUUGAGGCGAACAACCCGGGUGCGCGGUGCUUACGUGCGUCGCCAUAUUACUCGUCACAAUAUGCCAUAAAUGAUCGCGGUGAGGCAGUGGUUCGAGCCUUUAACGCGUUUGAACAGGUUUGGACUAGCCGGGCCGCCGAUAAGAGAGCGAUGGAUCACGUUGAAGUCACCAAUUUGACGAGAGGCACGACAGUUUUUGACCGGCCGGCGUCCGUGUGGACAUUCGGUCUGGUGUUCGGGCCUCGUUAAAUAUUAUCUUCUCGAUAUUUGGGUUAUAUGACUGGGUCGUCAGUGGAGGUGGAGUUCGUAGUUUAGUCAUUGCCCAUUGGUACCUGAGCCAGUUGAGUAAUAACCAGAGUACGCUGUGCGCAGUGCGCGGCGCUUAUGUGCGUAGCCACAGCACGAUUUAGAGAAGAAGAUUAUCUUCUCUACAUCGUGGUUAAUAGAUACAUUUAUUGACCGUGGCGUGACACUAUGGCAGAAGUACUGAUAAUAUUAUAUUUUCCAGGACUGAUAACUGAUUUGUUACGUAUUUUUUCUUAUAUAAUAUUUGUAUUUUGGACUUUUGGAAAUGAUAAGAAGAAAGAAGAAAGAAGAAAGUCUAUCUAAAAUCGAAAACAAUAUGAUAUGCACACAAAAAGCAUCAAAAAAAAUGUAGCCAAAUAUGGUUCAUUCAUUUUGAUAGGAUUUGCUUCAAUGUGUACUAUUAACACCAAGUAAAUAGUUCAAUGAUUGAAACGUGAAACUUUUUCACCAUCCUAUUCAAUAUUAAUACCACCAAAACAAACAACAACUUUUCACUGGUAUCUGAUCAUGCGUCAACUAGCUAAUGUAUGGAUACUAUAAAUAUUCUGGGUGAUGUACCAGUUGAUUCUUCUGUCACAAGGCGUUUUUAAUAACAUCACAAUCGCAAGACAUUUAAAAAAACUCUUAUUCAUGUUAGAGUUCAUGAUUGAUAGUGAAGAUGAUAAACAAUUACUUAAUAGUUGUGAUAUUUAUUUUUUAAUGAUUUAAAUUUUAGUAACUUCUCCUUAAAGUGUAUAAUUUAUAUUGCUUAUAAAUGUUUUUUUUUUUUUUUUGGUUUGUACUUUUGUUAGGAUGAUAAUCUCAAGUUAAAUGCAGUAUUUGUAUAUCUGCUCUUAUGGGCUCAAAUGAAAAUGUAUGUAGGUACCUAAUUAAUUUUUUAAUUAUUAAGAUAUUGAUGAUAUUAUUUAUCCUAGUAAUGAUGUAAUUUCAAUUUAUAUUAAAACAGUCUAAUGUUAAUAAUUUUAUAAAGAUUUAAAAUUAUAUAAAUUAUUAAUUAAAACAAAAAUGUUAUUUUAUUUAAGGCAUUGGUACAUUAAACUUCUGAUUAAUGGACAGCAAAAUAUCAUAAUUAUUAUUACUAAAUGUUAUUUUUUAAUUUUAAGUUUUUUUUUUCAUUAACAUGAAAAAACGAAUAUAAAAAAAAAUUAUAAAUAAAAACCUAAACCUGUACAGA